rnacentral:rRNA from 1 species
CCCUUGCUACUUCAGUCUAUAUACCGCCAUCUUCAGCAAACCCUAAAAGGGAACGAAAGUAAGCAUAAUCAUCCUACAUAAAAACGUUAGGUCAAGGUGUAACCAAUGGGUUGGGAAGAAAUGGGCUACAUUUUCUAAACUAAGAAUAUCCCUAUACACACGAAAGUUUUUAUGAAACUUAAAAACCAAAGGAGGAUUUAGUAGUAAAUCAAGAGCAGAGUGCUUGAUUGAAUAAG